rnacentral:rRNA from 1 species
AUGAACGCUGGCGGCGUGUUUUAGGCAUGCAAGUCGAACGAACCUAUGUAGCAAUAUGUAGGUGAGUGGCAAACGGGUGCGUAACACAUUGGUAACCUACCCCAAAGUUCAGAACAACGAGUCGAAAGAUUCGCUAAUACUGGAUGUGAUCUCGAUCCGAAAGGAUUGGGAGGAAAGGCGCAAGUCGCUUUGGGAGGGGCCUAUGGUCCAUCAGGUAGUUGGUAGGGUAACGGCCUACCAAGCCUCCGACGGAUAGCGGGAUUGAGAGAUCGACCCGCCUCACUGGGACUGAGACACUGCCCAGACUUCUACGGAAGGCUGCAGUCGAGAAUCUUCCCCAAUGGACGAAAGUCUGAGGGAGCGACGCCGCGUGCAGGAAGAAGCCCUUCGGGGUGUAAACUGCUUUUCUUUGGGAACAACUCUGAGUGUACCGAAGGAAUAAGGGGCUGCUAACUUCGU